CGUUAAUCAGCUCUAAUUGCCAAAUUACUGUCCACUUCCUUUGAUAAAAGCAAAUGCGACUACUAUCAAACAUAUGGCAUAUGAUGUAACGUACAAGUAAACUAUUCAUAUCGACUGUAAGAAGUCUGAGAAAAUGAAAAGAGAACGAGCGCCAUCUCCUCUAGAUCUCCAUCGGAAUUCCCAUUCUAUCUGGCGGGGGCUUCUCCAGAUGCUUGCUUUUUCAUGUUAGCAAUGUGCUUUUUACCGGUGACAUGAUUACUGAAAACAGUCUCACUGUUGCAAACCACUUUACAUACAAGACACUGACGGACGUCGUUUGCAGCUGCUCCUCCUUCCAAAACCUUUUGUGUCUUGGUCUCCAACUUCACACUCAGCUCAGCUGCCUUCUUCAUUGCAUCUUUCGCAUCUCCAGAAUUUACUAUGUCAGGCUUCUCUUGUGGUCCAAUAGAUGUACUAACUGGCACCUCUGAAGGAACAAGAGAUGCAGAAGCAGGGACAGACUUCUGUUGCUUUGUUACGUUAGCAAUGUGCUUUUUGCCAAUGAGAUGAGUUCUGAAAACAGUCUCACUGUUG
rnacentral:misc_RNA from 1 species